CCAGAAGUACUGUGAAAAGGUAACUAGAGUUUUCAAAAGAUAGCUCAUGCUACAUUCUGAGUCCAUCAGUAGAAAAAGUCAGAUCCAGGUGGUCCUUAUAAGCUAGUGAAGAAGGAUGAAUGACAAGAGACAGCAUACUCACCUCUACAUAUAAGGAGAAAAUUGUUAUCAGAGCCCUGCCUCCUUUGGUGCUCACACUGGAAGGGUGUGAUCCAUGGGAAACAACAGGGACACAUGUUAACCAAGAAGAAUAGAAAUUACGGAGUAGAUGUGCUGACCACUUCAUCCACUGCAUGAGGAAGAGUGUGUUUCUUAAAAAUUGUAAAAAAUCCUGUACUGCAUCA